ensembl:lncRNA
UGACAGAGCGUGCGCAGAGGUGUGUUUGAAGGCUCCGUGGUUAAGCGCACAGAGAACGGCUGUGGCCAGCGCAUUUGUUCUACUCGAUUCUGCUUCAUCAGGAUCGAGAGAAUAACAGUAGUCUCCUUUAAAACAUUGCGACUGUAAUUAGGUCUUCAACUGAAGCACAGACAAUACAGCAUUGCUGCAUGAGAUAACUCACAGCAGGAGAGGAAAUGCAACCAAACCCUCCUUUUUUGUCAUUUUAUUCUAAAUGGUGAUUUUCUAACAAAUCUCGCUUGGUUUUCGUUACAUCGGUUUCACACAAUUUUACUCAAUAAUAUAUUAGGAGCUGCUGCUGCGAAGGACUUCUUGUGCAGACAUUACCUCAUAUUGUUGGGGAGCUUUUUCUGUUUUACCUUCACCCACAAAAGCAAAACAGGGGGGUAAAAAAGCGAAUCAUUGAAAGAAUUUCAGCGCGAUACGAAGCAGUCCAGGCGUUCGUACAAUAUGAGCGAUUUUAAUAAUAAAAACGUAGAGUGAAAUUCGGUGUUCUGUUUUUGACUGGCUGCUGAUAACAAGUUACUCCUACACGCAGACGCAGUGACAAUUAAUACUGAAACUCUCACAGACAACAAAGAUCAAAUCUCCACGCAUGUCAUCUAAUCUUACUCAUAGCUCCAUAAACCGUACAAUUUAAGCACACAUUUUUUAAAUAGUCAUGCCUAACCUAACUAGUAACAGUCGGUUAAAAAAAAAAGCUUCAGAGCUUCAGAACUGCAUUACAUUCUGUGCCUGGAAAAACAGCACUACUAAAUUCUACCUCUGUUGUGAAAUGAGGUCUGAACUGAGGAAAAUAUGACAUGCUAAGAAUGAAGAAACCUUUACAGAAAUGGCUUGUGUAAAACUGCAUCAGAGUAACUACAAAUAUAUAGCUUUGUAUUGCUAGAAUUAACUAGGAAUUAGACAGAUUAAGGGUUUCAACUAACAACAAAGUAAAAACUAAAACCAGUAACAACUAGAAACAAACUAAAUGUCCAUAUUUGCACAGACACUAAUUCUAGUUUGUUUUUUGUUUGUUUUGUUUUUUAAAUGCUGGAGUGUUUUUGUGACUACCAUUAACCUCUUACUGUUGUCUGUGCGCAAAGCAGCAAGCAGCACACAACCACAGGUGGGAGUACUGAUACACUUUGUGAAAUACAAAACACACACACAAACAGACACAGACACACACACAGACACACACUUAGACAUAUGUAGACAUACAGACCAAAAAAAGAGGCUGAAAGUUGACUUUUGAAAAGUUCUCUUAAGUGAAAGAUACAUAUCAUACCAUGCAGACAUAUGUAUGUUUCCUCCCCCACCCUUUUCUAAACAGCUGAACCAGAAUGAACACCAACAACAGAACAGUACUCAUAAAUAGUCAAUAUGAGACAUUUAAGGUCAUUAUUUAAGUGUAUAAACUAACAGCACCGAUCUUAAGGCAGCCGGUUGGGGGGUUUUUUUUGCUGUUUUUUAAAAUUGUGUUGGAAACAUACGCCCACCUCGUGGCUUUUGAGAGUCGAGUAAUGUUAAGGCAGCAUGGUCAAAACAAAAUGAGAAGUUUGUGAUAAGCAAUGAGCCACUAAAAAACAACAACAACAACUACUACUACUACUCAGUGAUCUGUAAUUACAACAGCAGAAAAUUCACAUCACUGCUAAAUGAAGUGUCACUUGCAGAAUCGAAUUAAAACAAUUUGUAUUGUAUAGUCAUGUGCAUGGAGUAAAGUGCAUAAAGGUGUUAAGAGCCUUGUAUUUCUGUUCUAGCAGUUGACAAAUGCAUUUUAAUUAAGUAUGUGUCAUGGACCUGUUUUCAUCUACAACUGCAAACUCAGUUAAAAUACAUUACACAGAUGAAAUCUAAGAAUAAAAUCAAACUAAAAUAAACAAACAUCUCACUUAAAAAACACUGCCAUAUGACAGUGCUCUACACAUUACACACUACACUGCAACCUGCUAACAAUAGCAAAUCAAAUGUGUGCAGGACAACAGACUGAUUGGAAAAAGAAAAGAAAAAAAAUCUACAUAUAUCGGUUUUGUUUUUAUGCCCAUGCACGUUUCUAAAUAUGCUGCUAUCCUGCAGAGGUUCGAAGAAUGUUUGUCUUAACACAAAGAUGGUGAACUUAAACAUAAGCCAAAUUACGCCCGAAAAACAAAACUGAGAAGGCUUGUGGUUUUCUGAAAAAAGAAAAAAAGGUCAUGCAUAUUAUUCAGGGCUGUGCAAUAUUUUGAGAAGGAUUCGAUAUUUCUAUGUGGCAUUUACACAUCCUAUGUUUUCUACUUGGCAUCUCGGUAUUCAAAUUCAGCCCACGCUAUCUCUUCCCUCUGACACACACGCACACACACACACCUUUUGCAUUGCUCAUCCUGAAACAGUAUUUGAACUGUUCAUAUAUUAUCAGGCGAUUGUCACUUAACACUUACUGUGUAAGUGAGCUUGAAAACCCUUGCACAUAAAAAAAACAACUAUUUAAAAAUAGAACUGCACUGGAUAAGUAGACAUGUCGUUUCUUUUUAGAUGGUGAAAAAGUCGGUACACACGGAAACCUGUACAGCAACCGGUUGAACUGCUGCAGCUGGGCAAGCAAAAGGUUAAAAGUCACAGCUGUUGACUAGGCCACGCUGCUCCAACAAUCUCCAAAGUGAAAUUACACAGAGCUGAUUGAGACUCUAAAACGCACUUAAAUGAAUAAGACACUGUUCUGUCCUAAAAAUACAUGUGUGGCAAGAGAUUUGAAAAAGCCAGUGGUGACUGAUGACUAAUUUGAACUUACUUGCAAAUAAAUGGAACACAUUAAUAAAUAUUCAGACAGUAAAUGUAGUGACACAGCUCUGUAAUUCUGCAUUUCUCUCCCGAAUUGUCUACCUUCCCGUUAUUUUAACAAUUCACACUUUGAGAAAUUGUAAAAAGUUUAUCGUCCCUGGAAUUCAGUACAUAAAAUGUCACCCAUCAUUAAAUGUCGCAUGUCACCCACAGUCACAAUCUACUAUUACAAAUGUGUGUUUAGGGACACAGGAAGCUUGGGAACCUUUUUUGUUUUUUUAACAAGAAUGUGAUGUUUCCAUAUCAUGACAUAAAUAAGGUCCCUUGCUCAAUUUCCACAUUCAAAGCAGAACAACCAGCCAUCGAGAGACAACCAGGCUCUUUUAAAUACUGCACUAUGGAGGUCCACUAGAGUAUCAGUCUUCCUCAGCUACGUUUGACGAUGCUCAGCUUUAAGAGAUGUAAUCUGCUCACAUCGUCCUUAUAAUGUCACUCUCUGUUUUCACUUGCAAUCGCAUCUGAAUAUCAGCUAGACCUGAUAUUACUUACCUGCUUUUACAGCCUACUUUACAACUAAAACAGACAAUGUCAGGCCCAGUGAUGAAAUUAUUUUGAAAAUGUUGGCUGUUUCACCUGCAAAUAUGGCUCAAAUUAUGACUGUGUAAAAAAAAUAUAUACCAAAAAUGUAUCGGGAACACAACUGAAGACAAGAUAUACUGAAUGACACCAAAUUAUAUCACUUCCAUUAUGAACUCUGCACUUUUUUUUGACAAACAGUGACAAUUAUUUUUCCAUUUCAAUGUGAAUAAGUGCUUGAUUCACCAUCAUCUUCCUGUUCACAUGAGGUUAUACACUAGGGCACAAUUGUUAUUUUCUAUUCAUUGCUACAUACAGCUUCCCUUCACAUGCUUGUUAGUCAUACUGUCACCAAAGAUUACAAGACAAGAAAAGAGAUCAAUUUAGAAUUUCCUUUUUACUGUAACUUGACCAAUUCCCACAAUACAACAGUGUAAAUAACACCACAUCUUUUCGAGAUUUCAUACUCUGUCUUAUGUCAAUUAAUUAAUCACUCAUGCCUUGAGUACAGAGAACCUAAAAAUACUUCACUAUAAUAUAGCUUCAACAGACUUUGUUCUGAAGUCCAUGGUAUAUAUUUGAGAGACAUAAUUACAUAAUCUUGAAGCUUUUUGAAUUUUAGUGAAGUACAAAAAUAAAUGCUAUAUAUACACACUACAUGCACAAUUAGCUAGCAGCCUCAAAUAAACCAGCGCAGGGAAAGACCAUGUUUUAUAAACCCUUUUACCCAAAGAUAUCUGAUCGAAUGGCUUCAUUAUGUACUGCAUGUUCUCAUUCUCUCCCUCUCUCCCUCUCUCUCUCUCUCUCUCACACACACACACACACACACACACACACUUCUGCUUGAAUGCACAAAUGACAACCAAAGAAAAACAAGCACAUAUACAGGGUUUCCCAAAAGUCUCAACUGUAAAGGGAAAUUAACACUUUUUAGCAGAAUGUCUUGCCAAAUUUUUCAUACUUAUAUUUAUACACACAUUCCAGCCUUUAAGAAUGCCUUCGACAGUAGAAGAAUGUAUUGAAAUCAUCCUUAUGGCUGGAUCAGGAAGCUGUCGCUUCUGUGAUCGGGAAGCUGUGUGCCAUGGACUUUAACUGGAAACAUAGCAAGCACAUCACACAUACACACACACACACCACACUGUUGCCAAACUGGGAGCCAAAAUUGGGAGAGGGAAUCAUGUAGAGAAUGUUUUGUAAAUACAGGUACAUUUUGUUAAAAAAGUAUUAACUUCCCCUAUGUAUGGAGACUUUUGGGACACCCUGUAGAAUAGGAUUAUUCCACCAUAUGAUUACACUCAGACACAAUGUAGCAUCGAGAGGCCAGUCAAAAAUCAAGUAACAUAAUAAAUACCAAUAGUUCUAAUCUAACACAAUCCCGGGAUCCGUGAUGCAGGCAACUUUAAUCAAGCCAUAUUUUUAAAAUGCAGAGCCAAAAAUGAAAGCAAUGUGGUUCAGGCAUUUUGUCAGUCAGAAUUCUGAUGUGAAUCAACAAAAGUGAGGC